rnacentral:rRNA from 1 species
UACGAUGGGGGCUAGCGUUGCUCGGAAUCACUGGGCGUAAAGGGUGCGUAGGCGGGUCUUUAAGUCAGGGGUGAAAUCCUGGAGCUCAACUCCAGAACUGCCUUUGAUACUGAGGAUCUUGAGUUCGGGAGAGGUGAGUGGAACUGCGAGUGUAGAGGUGAAAUUCGUAGAUAUUCGCAAGAACACCAGUGGCGAAGGCGGCUCACUGGCCCGAUACUGACGCUGAGGCACGAAAGCGUGGGGAGCAAACAGG